rnacentral:rRNA from 1 species
AGCAGCCGCGGUAAUUCCAGCUCCAAUAGCGUAUAUUAAAGUUGUUGCAGUUAAAAAGCUCGUAGUUGAAUUUCGGGGUUAGUAGGUUGGUCAUGCCUCUGGUAUGUACUGGUCUCACUGAUUCCUCCUUCCUGAUGAACCUUAAUGCCAUUAAUUUGGUGUUUUGGGGAAUUUGGACUGUUACUUUGAAAAAUUAGAGUGUUUAAAGCAAGCUAACGCUUGAAUACAUUAGCAUGGAAUAAUGAAAUAGGACGUUCGAUCCUAUUUUGUUGGUUUCUAGGAUUGACGUAAUGAUUAAUAGGGAUAGUUGGGGGCAUUAGUAUUCAAUUGUCAGAGGUGAAAUUCUUGGAUUUAUUGAAGACUAACUACUGCGAAAGCAUUCGCCAAGGAUGUUUUCAUUAAUCAAGAACGAAAGUUAGGGGAUCGAAGACGAUCAGAUACCGUCGUAGUCUUAACCAUAAACUAUGCCGACUAGGGAUCGGAUGAUGUUAAUUUUUUAAUGACUCAUUCGGCGCCUUAC